rnacentral:rRNA from 1 species
ACGAAGGGUGCAAGCGUUACUCGGAAUUACUGGGCGUAAAGCGUGCGUAGGUGGUUCGUUAAGUCUGAUGUGAAAGCCCCGGGCUCAACCUGGGAAUUGCAUUCGAGACUGAAUAGCUAGGGUACGGUAGAGGGAAGCGGAAUUUCCGGUGUAGCGGUGAAAUGCGUAGAUAUCGGAAGGAACAUCAGUGGCGAAAGCGGCUUCCUGGACCAGUACCGACGUUCAGGCACGAAAGCGUGGGGAGCAAACAGGA